rnacentral:rRNA from 1 species
AUUGAACGCUGGCGGCAGGCCUAACACAUGCAAGUCGAGCGAGCGGCGGACGGGUGAGUAAUGUAUCGGGAUCUGCCCGAUAGAGGGGGAUAACUACUGGAAACGGUAGCUAAUAACGCAUACUAUCGGAUGAACCCAUAUCGGAUUAGCUAGUUGGUGGGGUAAAGGCUCACCCAGGCAACGAUCCGUAGCUGGUUUGAGAGGACGACCAGCCACACGGGGACUGAGACACGGCCCAGACUCCUACGGGAGGCAGCAGUGGGGAAUUUUGGACAAUGGGGGCAACCCUGAUCCAGCCAUCCCGCGUGUAUGAGAAGGCCUUCGGGUUGUAAAGUACUUUUGGCAAAGAGGCGGUAUCUGCAGAAUAAGCACCGGCUAACUACGUGCCAGCCGCCGCGGUAAUAC